rnacentral:rRNA from 1 species
AUACGUAGGGAGCGAGCGUUGUCCGGAAUUACUGGGUGUAAAGGGAGCGUAGGCGGGACGGCAAGUCAGAUGUGAAAUACAUGGGCUCAACCCAUGGGCUGCAUUUGGAACUGCUGUUCUUGAGUGAAGUAGAGGUAAGCGGAAUUCCUGGUGUAGCGGUGAAAUGCGUAGAUAUCAGGAGGAACACCGGUGGCGAAGGCGGCUUACUGGGCUUUUACUGACGCUGAGGCUCGAAAGCGUGGGGAGCAAACAGGAUUAGAUACCCUGGUAGUCCACGCUGUAAACGAUGACCACUAGGUGUGGGGGGACUGACCCCUUCCGUGCCGCAGUUAACACAAUAAGUGAUCCACCUGGGGAGUACGGCCGCAAGGUUGAAACUCAAAUGAAUUGACGGGG